rnacentral:rRNA from 1 species
CCUACGGGAGGCAGCAGUAGGGAAUCUUGGGCAAUGGGCGCAAGCCUGACCCAGCAACACCGUGUGGGCGAUGAAGGCCUUCGGGUCGUAAAGCCCUGUUGAUAGGGACGAAGGGCGAAGGGUUAAUAGCCCCUAGCCUGACGGUACCUUUCGAGGAAGCCCCGGCUAACUACGUGCCAGCAGCCGCGGUAAUACGUAGGGGGCGAGCGUUGUCCGGAAUUAUUGGGCGUAAAGAGCGUGUAGGCUGUUCGGUAAGUCUGCCGUGAAAACCUGAGGCUCAACCUCGGGCGUGCGGUGGAUACUGCCGGGCUAGAGGACGGUAGAGGCGAGUGGAAUUCCCGGUGUAGCGGUGAAAUGCGCAGAUAUCGGGAGGAACACCAGUAGCGAAGGCGGCUCGCUGGGCCGUUCCUGACGCUGAGACGCGAAAGCUAGGGGAGCGAACAGGAUUAGAUACCCUGGUAGUCCUAGCCGUAAACGAUGGACACUAGGUGUGGGGGGAGUCGAAUCCCUCUGUGCCGCAGUUAACGCGUUAAGUGUCCCGCCUGGGGAGUACGGCCGCAAGGCUAAAACUCAAAAGAAUUGACGGGGGCCCGCACAAGCAGCGGAGCAUGUUCUUUAAUUCGAUGCAACGCGAAGAACCUUACCUGGACUUGACAUGGUGCUGCAAGCGCACGGAAACGUGUGACCUUCGAGGGUGCACCACAGAUGCUGCAUGGCUGUCGUCAGCUCGUGUCGUGAGAUGUUGGGUUAAGUCCCGCAACGAGCGCAACCCUCUGUGGCGUGUUGCCAUCAUUACGUUGGGGACUCACGCCAGACUGCCGGUGACAAACCGGAGGAAGGUGGGGAUGAGGUCAAGUCAUCUGGCUCUUACGUCCAGGGCUAUAACGUUUCUCAACGCUUGAUACAAGGGUUCUCAGACUUCACG